rnacentral:rRNA from 1 species
UGGGGAAUAUUGCACAAUGGGCGCAAGCCUGAUGCAGCCAUGCCGCGUGUGUGAAGAAGGCCUUCGGGUUGUAAAGCACUUUCAGCGAGGAGGAAGGGUUCAGUGUUAAUAGCACUGUGCAUUGACGUUACUCGCAGAAGAAGCACCGGCUAACUCCGUGCCAGCAGCCGCGGUAAUACGGAGGGUGCAAGCGUUAAUCGGAAUUACUGGGCGUAAAGCGCACGCAGGCGGUUUGUUAAGUCAGAUGUGAAAUCCCCGCGCUUAACGUGGGAACUGCAUUUGAAACUGGCAAGCUAGAGUCUUGUAGAGGGGGGUAGAAUUCCAGGUGUAGCGGUGAAAUGCGUAGAGAUCUGGAGGAAUACCGGUGGCGAAGGCGGCCCCCUGGACAAAGACUGACGCUCAGGUGCGAAAGCGUGGGGAG